rnacentral:rRNA from 1 species
CCCCUAGACGUUCUGGGCUGCACGCGCGCUACAAUAAUACGCACAGCGAGUAUCACCGAGCUCGAAAGGGCAAGGUAAACAAUAGAAAAGGUACUGUAAUGGUUAUAGAUCCUUGUAAUUAUUGAUCUUCAACGAGGAAUUCCUAGUAAGUAUGUGUCAUCAUCACGCACUGAUUACGUCCCUGCCCUUUGUACACACCGCCCGUCGCUCCUACCGACUGGGUGAGCCGAUGAAACUCUCGGAUGUAGGCUAUUCAUAGCCCGCAGAAGAGAUUUGAAUCGUAGCGCUUAGAGGAAGGAGAAGUCGUAACA